rnacentral:lncRNA from 1 species
CAACAAUUUAAUAGAAAAAGUCUUACAAAAGAGACAAAGCAAAGCUUAAAAGAAACAGUCUGGAACAGUCUUGAGACAAAGAUACAAAAGCUUAAGAGAAGACAUAGGCAAAAUAAUGAUUACAACCAACGGAAAAUAAAAGAUUCCACAACAUGUCUCAGUGAUGAGUUUCCACUUCCUCAUCUCGAACUUUGUCGAAAUAGCGUCCUCUAUUAAGUCAUCAACACCUUGUUCAAGUAAUCAACCUCGCCUUUUAUAUUGUAAAUCUCAAAUUGAAUGUUUUCAAGUUUUGGAAGUGAAUCUUUAAUCUCUUCAAGCAAUGAUUCUUCUACCCAUAAACAAAGUUCGAUGGCAAACCUGUCUUUCCAAAAUCUCGUUUUUCAAAGGGAAUUAAAAUCAUCUCUUUCACUUGAUUCUAGCUUGUAAAUAGAAGAGAUGAAACCAAGUCGCAGAGAAGACAACAAAAUUUUAAAUCGGGUUGCAGGGAAGAGAAGAAGAAUGAAAUUGAAU